rnacentral:rRNA from 1 species
UACGAAGGGGGCUAGCGUUGUUCGGAAUUACUGGGCGUAAAGCGUGCGCAGGCGGCUUCUCAAGUCAGGGGUGAAAGCCCAGAGCUCAACUCUGGAAGUGCCUUUGAGACUGAGUGGCUUGAGUACGAGAGAGGUGAGUGGAAUUCCCAGUGUAGAGGUGAAAUUCGUAGAUAUUGGGAAGAACACCGGUGGCGAAGGCGGCUCACUGGCUCGUAACUGACGCUCAUGCACGACAGCGUGGGGAUCAAACAGG